rnacentral:misc_RNA from 1 species
UAAAUAACAAUAACAAUAAACUAUAAAUUGUUAGAAAAUAUAAGUGUUUCAAUUUUUAUAAGAACCAUUGGAUUAAAAUAAAAAAAUACAGGAUGUUAAUAAAUUACAAUUACAUUUGCGCUAGUCAAAAAUGCACGGGACAAAAAACUAAUUAGUACAUCUUCGAGUACGUGGUCAAAUCCUGAAACUUUCUAUGUAAUAAAUUUAUUAAAAUAUUUAGCUUUGCUUCCUGCAAACUGCAUUAGCAAAACGUAUGAAGCUAUUAAAAAAGAAACGACAGAAAGUUUUGGUGAUUUUUUUGACGACUACUUCGAGUACUAUGAUGAUCAAUGGUUACGCAAAGAAGGACCUGUGCAAAUCUGUAAUUUCGAUAGGGGGGAGGAUCGUACAACUAAUGUUAUAGAGUCUUACCACAGUCAGCUUAAUAGAUUAGUAGACAAACAUCUACACUGCAACAAAUUUCUUGCUACACUUAUAAUGAUUUUGCGAGAGGGACGCAUAGAUCUACAUUCUGUACAAGCUGGAAAAUAUGUACAACCCCACCAAAACACCGAAUCAAAAAACAAUCAAGAGUACGUCCAAUUCUGGCAAGAUAUAAAAAAAAAACUAAAAAAAGACAAUGAAGAAUUAAAUUUAAUUGAUGAAAUUAAAAAAAUAAAUCAUAUAAAAGAAUUACAAGAAAACGAGAGGAAGAUUGUUGAAAAACUAAUUAAUAAUGUAAAAGAGAGGUAUGAAGAAAAAUACGAAUUCCAAAAAUAUACAAUGUAUACAGCGAUCAAUGAUCCUGAAAAUCCGCCUGCAAUCAUGCAUCAUAUAAGGGACAUUAGGCAUAAGCUUAUCGCCUCAACGGAUCCUGCAGUACUAUUUACUGUAUAUAAUGCACCAAAAGCAUCUGUAAAUUUUGGAGAAAAUUUAAAAAGUUCAUCAGAAGAAGCAGCUCAAAAAUAUUAUAAAUAUUACCUGAUUUAUAAAGAAAAUGAACUCAUGAGUGCUUUUGGAAAAUAAUACCGGGCCAACCGUGUCGGUCUUAUCCGUACAUUUUUAACAAUCUUUUAUAUUCAUUUGUUAAGGUGCUACUGAAUAUAUUUUCCUAUUUCUUCUAAAUAUUAAUUAAAAACUUUAUUAAAAAUAUAAUUGAAAACUUAAAAAUCUCUAUUUAAAAAUACAAUCGACUAGGUAUUGAUUAUGAAAAAAUUAUUAUAUAAAAUAAUGGGUCAUCCGUGUCAAAAUAGGUGUGUUAGUUAUGAACAUCUUCCAUUUUAUUAGUAGAACUGUAAGUUAUAAAUGUAAAUUAUGUAUUUUGACAACCUAAAUUUUUACCUUUUAAAAACGUUUAAAAGGUAAGAAUUUCGUAGUUAGCUACAUUUUUUGUUAUAAUAAACAAUAAUCGAGAUACCAACAAUAUUUUAUUUAUUAUAAGCAAUUCCGUGCUAAGGAUUUCCGUGUAAAUAAUUAUCAGAAUUUUAUAGCAAUAAAUAUUAGUCCACACACCAACACAUCCUCAUUUAUUAAAAACAAUUCCGUGUCACUUGUGCACGAAAAAAAGAAAACUCGAAAAAUUACAGUAUAUAAUGCA